UCAUACGGGAGGCAGCAGUGGGGAAUAUUGCACAAUGGGGGAAACCCUGAUGCAGCCAUGCCGCGUGUGUGAAGAAGGCCUUCGGGUUGUAAAGCACUUUCAGUUGUGAGGAAAAGUUAGUAGUUAAUACCUGCUAGCCGUGACGUUAACAACAGAAGAAGCACCGGCUAACUCCGUGCCAGCAGCCGCGGUAAUACGGAGGGUGCGAGCGUUAAUCGGAAUUACUGGGCGUAAAGCGCACGCAGGCGGUUUGUUAAGCUAGAUGUGAAAGCCCCGGGCUCAACCUGGGAUGGUCAUUUAGAACUGGCAGACUAGAGUCUUGGAGAGGGGAGUGGAAUUCCAGGUGUAGCGGUGAAAUGCGUAGAUAUCUGGAGGAACAUCAGUGGCGAAGGCGACUCCCUGGCCAAAGACUGACGCUCAUGUGCGAAAGUGUGGGUAGCGAACAGGAUUAGAUACCCUGGUAGUCCACACCGUAAACGCUGUCUACUAGCUGUGUGUGUCUUUAAGACGUGCGUAGCGAAGCUAACGCGCUAAG
rnacentral:rRNA from 1 species